CAGCCACAGCUCUCGCGCACCCCACAGCCCAGCGGGCGGGAAGGGGGACGCCGCUUCGGGACCGCACGAUAUGUCACAGACGUCCGUUGAAGCGAUGAUUGGACAGACAGCCUCGUGGCCACCUGGCUGACCGAGCUUCGUUCUGGUGCUCCGGGCAACUGCCUCGCCCGGCCAGUGGCGCGGCACCGACCGUGCUCCCGAAGAGUGGCUGCCACACACGUGCGAGACGGACAACCGGACGCUCCCGUCCGCAACUCGCGAGCACACUCACUCGCCGGGACACACGGGAGUGCGCGGCUGGAGUGCGGGACACCGGAGCCCCGCGGACGUCGGCGCGGAGGCUGCUGCCACUCGGCGACACCGUACGACGCCACGUCGAGAACGCGGAAUGGACGAGCAAUCUGGAAAACAGGCGCCAUUCCUGGCCCAGUAGAGGCGAGCCUGUCUCCGCCAAUUUGCUCGAAGGAUCUUGCACAGCCUCACAGGAUGGUUGAUCGAGGGACGGAAGCCGCCAAACAGUUAACUUGCCAAUGUCUAGGGGACUCGGCGCUCAGUGCUCGCCCCGAGCGGAAGUGCGCAACGAGAGCUCCGCCGAACUCUGAGAGCUCCCUGUCAUCGCCGGACGAACUUUGGCCCGCCGCACUGCGC